UCGCUGGAAAAAUCCAGCGAGGGGAUUCUUACCCUGUUUUACCAUAGCGACUUAAAACACGCACCGCGUGUUUUUU
rnacentral:sRNA from 1 species